CUGCACCUUACAGUACUUUCCUUGCAGUCACGUACCACUUACCUGGAGUAGCUAGAUAGUUUCCAGGCCCCUCUUCCAAUUAACAUGAGGCUGUAAUAUCCUCUCACCUGCCCUUUCUUCCAAGACCAAAUAAAGUCCUCUCCUCUGAUUUGAGUCUAGUGACUAAGAUCCUGUCAUCCAUGGCCUGACUUCUGUACCCAUGUCUACCUUACUAGUCUUUGCUUAGAUGAAUACAUUUCACUCUUUCAGCUGAUGAGUCUGCCUAUUUCCCAGUUCCUAUCCCACAGAGUUCCAACUCUAUCCAGUGUUUUGUCUAACUGUGCAUGAACAACUGGAUGCUUUCUCAGAUGAACCAUAGAAAGGUGAACUGAACAGUGGCAAUGGAUGGCUAAAAGCAUUUUAGUGCAUUUUUACAUUUUCAUAGCUUCUUCUCCAAAUUUAAGUUAAAAGUAUCUUCCUAUCAGGUAAACAUAUCACCAAGAGAAGCUCUCCUACCCAUUUCUCCCCAUUGCAAUCUUUUUUGUUUUUGUUUUUUACCUUUGAGCGCUUCCUAUUUCAAUAAGUCAUCCUUAUUCAUUAUCCACUCUAAGGCCCAGUUCAUAGUUUCCAUGUUUCAGACAUACUCACUAUACAAAGCCAUAUUAUAAGACAAUGCUAUGUUAGGGCCCUCCUGCACUUACCAUGUAACCACACAGUGAAACAGAAAUGAUUUUAGACUAGAGGCUUCUCAGCCUCAGUGUACCGCAUCUGUUGACCAACCUUCAUCUACAGAUCACUCUUUGAGCUGUCUUUUGAGUUUUGUGCUUAUGGUACACCAAUUCCUAUAGCUCUGCUAUCCUCUGUAAACAAAUGAUUUCCCCGAUAAACAUCCUAGAAAUUCCCAGAAGAGAGCCUGAUACAGGAUUGUAGUUUUAACUCACUGGUUCCCAUAAGAACAUGAAAAGGUCAGACUGCAAUAUUCCACAGGUUUUGGAGAGUUUUAUCACUGCAAAAUGUUUCCUUUUAACUUG
rnacentral:lncRNA from 1 species